rnacentral:lncRNA from 1 species
UCAGGUCCAGAAUACGCGCCGUGCGCGCAGAUGGGACGUGCGCGCUGUGUGCACGUCCUGUGCGUACGUGUUUGCGGAUGGGACAUGCAUGCUGUGCGCAUGCCCUGCGGCCACUGUGCCCGCAUGCGUGCACGCACAGUGUCCAGCACGCGCGAGUAAACUUCUUUCUCACGGGAUUUUUCUCGUUAGUAGGUUUUCUCCCGUUUCACCAUUUUUUGAUUUUUUUCUAAAUUUUUUCCUUGAAAUAAAAAAAAAUAAAAUAAAACAUUUUAAAAUAAAA